rnacentral:miRNA from 1 species
CAACAUGCCAAGGUAGAUUUGAAUUUGAGAUAAACAACACAUGUUGUAGUAGAAGUAUAUCCCAUUCAAUAUUUGGGACAUACUUAUACUCAAGUUGUUUCUUGCUUAUCUGAAAUCCCCAUCUAACUGAGUGUGCUGUA